UUUCAGAUGUUCCAAACAACAGAAA
rnacentral:piRNA from 1 species